GAGACCGACCAGGAGCCGACCCAUUUGAACCGGAGCCGGAGGUCACCGGCUCACCGCUGCGCCCCGAGGCCCUCCUCGCUCUCCACCAGCUCACGAACACAGAGAGAGAGGCCGAUGGCGAGCUCGCUGGCCCGCCUGGGAGCGGCGCUGCCACGCGCCGCGGCCCGCGCCCUGCCACCGGGGCGGUGGGCCGCCGCGGUGCUCGGCAUCGGCGCCUCCCGCCGCGCCGAACGCUUUCAGGUGCCAAGUUCAUUCCGACAUUAAAGUAGCCCCUACAUCAGACGUGAAGGACGAUAGCAAAUCUGAAACUAGGAGGAUCAAGAUGCUCUAUGACGGUGAUUGCCCUCUCUGUAUGCGUGAGGUAAACAUGCUGAGGGAAAGAAACAAAUCAUAUGGGGCAAUAAAGUUUGUUGACAUAAGCUCUAAAGAUUACUCUCCAGAUGACAAUCAAGGCCUUGAUUAUGAAACUGUGCGUAUCACUUCAAUUUAUUUCACUUUUCUUGCUCACCCACUUUAUGAUUUCUCGUUAAUGAAAUUGGUCAUGUCGUGUUUUGUUUCCCAAAGGCUAUGGUGUAAACAUUGCUUUUCAUUAGUAUAAUGGCACACACAGAGAUAACUCUUGCAAUUUUUGGCAAGUGCGUUCCACUGAAAAAAUAUUGAAUCAUGAUCUUUUUCUUCCUUGCUUAAACACUUGGUUUUGAAUAUUUCAUGGCUGCCAUUUUGUACUGGGCACUUCUAUUCUGAUAAUUCAAUUGCUUCCUCAUGGUUCCUAGCUUGUUUGCAUUUGUGCUUCUAAGCUUUGUCAAAAAGUUCUAAAAAAAUAUUAAAAUCAUGAAGAGCCUAGUGUAUGACCACCAUUUACUCCACUGCUAGAGUGCCAUUUAUUCCUCAGUUCCUGCCAUUCACUUUCUGGGGGAAUAUAGGACUUCUUAUUAGUAAUUUGUUUACUGGGACCAGAUUGAAAGUUCGCAUUCUGUAUUGUGGCCAGAGAGAUGAAUACGAGAAGGUAGGAGAUCAUGUACAAUGUUUAUUUAAUUUUCUAGUAAAUAUUUUUCCUUCCUCUUCUCAGGUCAUGGGGAAGAUACAUGCCAUUCUUUCAGAUGGAACUGUUAUCACAGAUGUUGAGGUAGAACAUUAACAUCAUGUCCUACCAAAGUCGUCGGGGAUUUAACUUUGCAAUGGGCAGUCUACUUGCUUAAUGCCAGAUAAACUGUUGGAUAGUUAAAUCAGACUAGGCUGAUUGUCUGAAAUUUUUUACAUCAAAUGAAGGAAAUGACCAAUUGAGCUAUACAUGUUAUGCGAAAGGGCCUCUAGCGUAAUGGUUAAGGCUUCCGAGUAGCACCUCCAGGUCCUGGGUUCGAUUCCCCUCGGGGGCGAAUUUCUGGCUUGGUUAAAAAAAUCCCCUCGCUGUGCCCCGUCCGCUCCCGGGUUACGUCCUGCGCGCCACCCUCCGGCUGGGCCGUUGCAGAGUGGGCGGUGACGGCCCGCUAGUGAUGGGGGCCAGGGUUCGGGGAUUUUCUCGGCCGGGACCAUGUUUCGGUCUCUUCUUAAUAUAAUACCGGGAGGACGGUCUUUCCCUCCCCGGCCGAGCUAUACAUGUUAUUUAUGAAUGAUUAGAAGUUUCUUUAACAUAAUACUGUGAUACAGCUGUUUCCCUUGUGUUCACUUAACUAUGUGCAACUGUUAAUGCAUAGAUGAGUUUGUACAAGCCAAAAUCAAUGCUGUUCUCUUCCAGCACCAAGCAAGCUAUGUUUUCUUGACAGGAUUCAGGACAGCAUUACAUGCAUAGCUUAUAAUCACUAAACUGUCACAGUAGUUUAACCACAGUAAAUCAUUCUAAAGCAGCGUUUAAAAGUUGACUAGGAUCCAGGCUAGUGCUGGGUCCGCCUACACGCCUAGGCGAUGCCUAGGCCACAUGCCGCCGCUGUUUCCCAAGGGGAGCUGCGUACGUCUUGGUGCCUAGGCGACACCUUCGAAACAAUGUUCUAAAGAACUUGAUGUAGAAUACUCUGAUCUAUCAACAUAGUUGAAACACUGUUCUAACAGAGUAUGAGUGUGAUGCCAAGGCAAAUAAAAGACCAAGUCAGAAUUUUGAUUCUUUUUAGUCUAAGCAUCAGGUAUGUUUCAUGCUAAUAUUUAUUAUGUUAUUAUUGCAGGCAUUUAGAAAAUUGUACGAGGAAGUAGGACUCGACUGGGUUUAUGCUGUUAGACUGUCUCCAGCAACGUCCUCUAUAUACAUCCUCUAUAUCCGUCCUUUACAGUCUUCUUUAAAAGAUUCCAUCUCCUAUAUCUACUUUCUCUUCAACAACGUCCUUUAAAUCACGUCCUCUAUAUGUAAAUACCUAUAUUAAAAACAUUUUUAAUUUUUUAAUUUUUGUACGUACGUAUUUGUCAUACUUUCAAAUGUAUUGUACAUAUUUUAGUUUUAUUAAACCGGUUGUUUAAAGUAUUCAAAUAGAUAGAGAACCGUUUAGAGAAACUCUACAUAUAGAGGAUCCAGCGGCGUUCUCUAAAUUUAGAGGACCGUUUAGAGGACGUUGCUGGAGUGAGUAGAGGAUGUCAUCGUCCUCUAAAUUUAGGGUACAGGACCUUUUAGAGGGUCUUGUUGGAGCCAGCCUUACUAGGUUCAACCUGUAAGUCACUACUUACAGAGAGAACAUAUGAUCGUCUUGUUCCAUUCACUUCAUGCUUUUUAUAUAAGCAGAACAUUUUCCAAAUGAGAUAAGUUUUACCUUCUUGCUGACACCUGUACUUCUUUGUUCAUCUUCUAAUUCUAUGCAGGUAGCUACGAUGGCAAAUGCAAUAUAUGGCGUGUGGGCGAAAUACCGAAUGCAAAUUACAGGUCGACCUCCGCUAGAAAAGCUGCAGUAAGUUGUCCUUCUGAUCAUCAGCUCACUUCUUUUGCCUGAUGCUGUGCUCAGUACCAAUCAGUAAUCAUACUGGUUGCGAGUGAACAUUUCAGCAGCUUCAGUUUACUGACUGCAUUUCCCUUCCGCAGGGCGAAUGUAAAGAUGACAAAGUAUGCAAGAUGUGAGCAUAAAAAAUGUUCUACUGUGCUACAUACCUCACUCACCUAUAUUCAUGCUUAGUGCUUAGAUAGGCUCAUAUACAUAGUUUUAACACAAAAAAUAAUCACAAUGGUAUUGAAAAGGGCGAAUAGCUUAUGUAAUGGUUUGUCGAAGUAAAUAUAUACAUUUUCUGAAAAAAUGUAAAUAUAUACAUUUGUAUGUACACUGUGCUGGUUUGACGGCAAGAUAUUUUACGGUGAAAACUUCCACGGAAUGUGCUGUUGUGACUGGUGGGAUUGCACGGUGCCUCAAGUCCUGAUCAUGGGAUUUGUCUAUACUGCUUUUUGGACACUGCAUUCGUGAGUAUACGAUGCAACAAGAAUGCAACGUUUUAUAAAUCAUAUCCACAGCACAGCAAGCGACGAGGCAAUGCUUCACAGCCUGAAUAUUCUCAUAUCUUCAAUGUUAGAUAUUUGAUUCUGUUGCAUAAUUGUAUCUACACUGACUUCUGUGUGAUAUAUGACCCGGAUUUUGCUUUAACAAAGAUACACAGGAAAAAAGAGAGGAUAUCAUCCAGAAUUUGUACUUUUGUAUACUAUGAUGCCUGAAAACACACGAAAGAGGAUUCUACAUACUAUUUACUUUGUAAGGGACUUUUUGACACAGUCCACAAUACCUUCACAAUCGUUUUCAGUGCUCUGCCUCGUCAUCUCGUAUAUUGACGAAUACAUCAUACAAGUUAUCUGCAUAUGGGAAUCAGUGAGUACUUACAACAGUCUUAUGGCAGAGAAAUAGAAAGGCAGUACAAAUGGUUCACGUCAGGAGGCCAGAAUCCAGUAAACAAGGAAUCAAAAUCGAGAUUUUACGACUCCAUGAUGGAGCAGCCAGUUAAAUUUCACAAACGCAGCUAACAUGUUUAGUUCCAACCUUCCGAAGAAGUACAAAAAAAAGGAAUACACACCUAUUGAGGGGACAAAAGAGAGAACAGCAAGUUUACCUAUUUUAGGCCUCCUAGAACAUGGAAUUCUUGUUGUCUGAAACUCAUCUGAGGGGCAAAAGAGGUAUGUAAACAAUUAGAAUAGGUAUCAACUGUUCAUGUAUAACUUUAAGAUUUUAAGAAACAUAAGCGAAUACCAAAUAAGUAAAGGUCCUCAUUCAGGUAAUAGUUCAAUGCUGCCUCUGGAGCUGGUAGUGUUUUCAAUUCCUCUGUUGAAAGGAAACAGAAAAAUUACAUCAUCCAAGUGGAAGUGCAGGUAAAAUGAAUUAGCAGCUUCUGUAAUUACAAGUUGGGUCUCAACACUAUUAAGACAUAAAAAUGUUUGAAUAAGAAUUUAUGAUAGGAAAUGAUUUUAGAGUU